rnacentral:tRNA from 1 species
AACCUUUGAUAUGAUGAUUUGAAAAGAAUCAAUAGUUUGGACAAAACUAUGGCCAUGCAGGAGAGUUUCUGCUUUUGCAAAGGUUGC